GGCAAGAUGGCCGAGCGGUCUAAGGCGGUAGUUUCAAGAUUAAAAUCUUCCUAGCAAUAGGCAUAGGUGUACACUACUGGAGCAAUCCUCAUGGGUUCGAAUCCCAUUCUUGUCA